AGCGGCAGGCUUAACACAUGCAAGUCGAACGGUAACAGGAAAAGCUUGCUUUUCGCUGACGAGUGGCGCACGGGUGCGUAACGCGUAUGCAACCUACCUUUAACAGGAAGAUAGCCCCGAGAAAUCGGGAUUAAUACUCCAUAGUAUCAUAAUGUCGCAUGGCAUAAUGAUUAAAGCUUCGGCGGUUAAAGAUGGGCAUGCGUUCCAUUAGCUAGAUGGUAAGGUAACGGCUUACCAUGGCAACGAUGGAUAGGGGGUCUGAGAGGAUUAUCCCCCACACUGGUACUGAGACACGGACCAGACUCCUACGGGAGGCAGCAGUGAGGAAUAUUGGUCAAUGGAGGAAACUCUGAACCAGCCAUGCCGCGUGCAGGAUGACGGCCCUACGGGUUGUAAACUGCUUUUAUAUAGGAAGAAACCUCUUUACGUGUAGAGAGCUGACGGUACUAUAUGAAUAAGGAUCGGCUAACUCCGUGCCAGCAGCCGCGGUAAUACGGAGGAUCCAAGCGUUAUCCGGAAUCAUUGGGUUUAAAGGGUGCGUAGGCGGAAUAAUAAGUCAGAGGUGAAAUCCUGCAGCUCAACUGUAGAACUGCCUUUGAUACUGUUAUUCUUGAAUCUAGUUGAAGUMGGCGGAAUGUAACAUGUAGCGGUGAAAUGCAUAGAGAUGUCACAGAACACCCGUUUGCGGAAGGCAGCUUACUAAACUAGCMUUUGACGCUGAUGCACGAAAGCGUGGGGGAGCGAACAGGAUUAGAUACCCCUGG
rnacentral:rRNA from 1 species